UGGAAAUCAUUGUGCCUAUCAUUGGGAAGGCUAUAGCUAAAACGAUACUACUGGUUGGUAAGUUUGUAGAGAAGGUGGAGGGGACAGCAGUUGAGAGGGGAGCAUUUUGUUUCAUCAAUUCUUUUGUGUUGUAAACAACUAACAUUGGGAAGACUAUAGCUGAAAUGAUACCACUGGGAAAAAUUCUUUUGUUUCUAAUGACUCUAUAAGUGUUUUAGCAAG
rnacentral:lncRNA from 1 species